AUCUUUUUAUUAAACUAAUAUAUUUUUAUUAUUUCAUUAUCAUUUGGCUAGAAUUUUAUUAAAUGUUAAUAUUAAAUAUUAAAUAAUUUUAAUGCUAACCAAAAAAAAAACUAGUUAAUUUCUCAAAGUUUGUUUCACUUUGCAGUCCAAUUUAUAAGCUUAUUUAGUUCGGAUAUGACGUAUCAAAAUUGUACCUGACACUAUAAGGUCAAAUCACAAUAUCACACGAUUCUAAGAUAAUGGCUAGGGUGAUGACUUCAGAAGGUUCAAAUAGUCUGACUCCAUUUUCAGGUGUUCAGUGCUCCGAUGAAAGACAAUAUGACAUCUGUCUGUCUAUGCCAGGAGUGCAGGAGACAGCUGAGGAAAGCUUUAUAGACUUACGUUCGUCUGCAAGAUGUACUCGUUCGAUUGACGCCAUUUUGAGAUCCACAACAUCAAAUGCACCCAGAUCUGAUGUGGAAGUUAUUGAAAUCGUUUCGACAUCUUCGGAAAGCAGGAGAUUAAUUCCACAGAAUCAGUAGUGUAGACCCAAAGUAACACACGUAGAGGGAUACCUCAGUACCGCUUGUCACUUCCAAUGUCAAGCUGUCAAUAUCAUUGGAAUCUUUGGAUUGUCGCCUCUUUUGUGGGUUUUUUAAGCCUCUUUUUUUUUUUUUUUUUGGUUCUGUCUUUUCUUUUG